GCCCUCGUAGCGCAGUGGUAGCGCGUCUCCCUCCUAAGGAGAAGGUCUCCGGUUCAAACCCGGACUGGGGUG